UCGAAAUGACAGACUGCCACAGGACUAGUUUAAAAAUAAAAAUGAAUGAUAAAUUGCAUAAUAAGUAAAUGCUGCGUGAUAAAUUAAUAUCCUAAAAUGCUCACUAACGAAGAUCCGCAAGAAUGUAACAUGUAUUAGAUUAUGUAUAAAGUAAGCGAAAUAUUGUUUUUAACUACCUGAUUUUUUUAUAUUAUUACAGGAUUUAAUUUAAAAUGUCAUUAGGUCGCGCAAGUUUACAUUUUGUGGACGCUGUCAUGUGUCAAAAAGAGGAACUUAUAGCUCCGGGAUAAUACAUUGUAUUGUUACUAUCUAAGCGAUACAGACUACAUAAAUAACAUUUAGCAGUCAAGAAUGUUAGCCAAUGGGCAUUCUCGCGAAAAAAGAUUCAAAACCUUUUUUUUUCAGAAUAGGAAAGACAUAAAAUUUACCUACCUUCGAAAUUUUUUUUUGGUGAUUGUUCUCGCGAAAAUACCCCAAUGAGACGUUUACCCACUAUUAUGCUACUGUCAAUAAUAAUACACUCCAAGAAGUCCAACAUUAUGUUCUCGAGAGAUUAAGUUUUUUUUUCAGUUUUUAGGAAGUUUACUGUAAUAUGAAUUAAUUGUAUAACACCUACAUAGAUUGAUGUUUUAAGAUUUAUUUUGACAUAAUAAAUGUAAUGAUUUGUUAAAA